AUUGAACGCUGGCGGCAGGCCUAACACAUGCAAGUCGAGCGGAGAGAGGUAGCUUGCUACUGAUCUUAGCGGCGGACGGGUGAGUAAUGCUUAGGAAUCUGCCUAUUAGUGGGGGACAACAUUUCGAAAGGAAUGCUAAUACCGCAUACGUCCUACGGGAGAAAGCAGGGGAUCUUCGGACCUUGCGCUAAUAGAUGAGCCUAAGUCGGAUUAGCUAGUUGGUGGGGUAAAGGCCUACCAAGGCGACGAUCUGUAGCGGGUCUGAGAGGAUGAUCCGCCACACUGGGACUGAGACACGGCCCAGACUCCUACGGGAGGCAGCAGUGGGGAAUACUGGACAAUGGGCGCAAGCCUGAUCCAGCCAUGCCGCGUGUGUGAAGAAGGCCUUAUGGUUGUAAAGCACUUUAAGCGAGGAGGAGGCUACUUUAGUUAAUACCUAGAGAUAGUGGACGUUACUCGCAGAAUAAGCACCGGCUAACUCUGUGCCAGCCGCCGCCGUAAUAC
rnacentral:rRNA from 1 species